CCUACGGGAGGCAGCAGUGGGGAAUAUUGGGCAAUGGAGGCAACUCUGACCCAGCAACGCCGCGUGAAUGAUGAAGGUCUUCGGAUUGUAAAGUUCUGUGAUGGGGGAUGAACACAAUGACGGUACCCCAAUAGCAAGCCACGGCUAACUAGUUGCCAGCAGCCGCGGUAAUACGUGGGUGGCAAGCGUUAUCAGGUAUGACUGGGCGUAAAGGGUGCGUAGGUGGUAUAGUAAGUUGGCGGUGUAAUCCCGGGGCUUAACCUCGCCGCUGCCGCGAAAACUAUUAGACUAGAGUGCAGGAGAGGUAAGUGGAAUUCCUAGUGUAGCGGUGAAAUGCGUAGAUAUUAGGAGGAACAUCAGGGGCGAAGGCGACUUACUGGACUGUAACUGACGCUGAGGCACGAAAGCGUGGGGAGCAAACAGGAUUAGAUACCCUUGUAGUC
rnacentral:rRNA from 1 species